GCAUUCAUAAGUUAAUACAGGAUUAAACUUUUAGUUUUCCAAACUAAAAAUUGCAAGUUCAAAUCUUGCUGAAUGCA
rnacentral:tRNA from 1 species